GGGAGCCACCACCCCUGCCAGCAAAAUGUCUUCUGCAAGGAGACCCUCUUCCAAUUGUUCCUUUCCAGAGCAUAGCUCUGACUGGUAGAGCCUCCGUCACAGUGCGCACCCUGACUGCAAAACAGACUAAAUGAAGACUUGGCCAUGCAAGCAAGGGGAGGUGAGACCUGAUACUGCCAGAGAAGGAAUAGGGCACUGUCAACUCGCUAACUGGGUCCUAGUAUUGGCUAUGUAACCCUAGACAAGUUACUUUACAUUUCUAGACCUCAGUUCAGCAGUUGGAACACGUGGACUUUGGAUUUUCUUCUUCCUGGAACUUCCUUUAUGCACUCAUGUUUGUUACUCACCCAUGUAUUUAUCCAUUGUCCAUGUCUGCUUGUCAGUUUUAGUUACCUCCUACCCCCACCUGUCCAAGGUGCUCUUGUCCUCAGAAGAUCCCACUGGCAUGAAUAAGACAGACUUGGAAACUUUUAUCCUAGAUAAAACUGGUCUGGAACACAUAAAAAGUAUUUCCCCAACAAUUUUGAUUCACUUCAAUUCCUGAAAUCUAACUUCUGACUUUCAAAGAAAAUUCCACUUUGGCAGCUGUACAGGUACCAACAACAGUUUACCCUUACCUGGAAGAAGAGCCUUGGAGGAGAAAACACACCAUGUCGUUUACUUUCAACUAGGGAAAAUUUCCUAGCAGCAGCAGAAAUAAGGCAAAGUCCCCUGCCAGCACCACUCCCAACUCAGGUCCCACAGCCCUGUCCUCCCCAGGUGCCUGAGCCCUGUCUCCCACCCUUCAUACAGUAGAAGUCCAGCUGUUAAUACCACUUAUGCCAGCAAGACUGCGCAGCAAAGCAGAAAUGACCCUCAGAAGCCACCUUCUCUGACCUGGACAAGAGGAUACUGCAUCCCCCGCCCACUUCCAUCCCCUUACUUCCAGCAAUAAUAGGGACCACCACACAACCUAGAAGAUGCUACCUGUCUUCAGAUUCAAGAUGGAAGAUAUUGUCAUAGUCUACUGGGGUCUCCUCCCUGAAUCUACAGCCCCUCCCAGCUUUUCACCCAGGAGACAACAUGGUUUAGACAGAGUGCCACGUUUUCAAACCUUCCACCUGUGAUCCAAAUAUGCCAUAUUUCCACCGGCUACCUUCUCUACCACACUGCCUUCUGCUGGCUAUAUGAGAUUCCUGCAAGAACACAGAACAUUCACAUCUCUGCCUCAAUGGAAUUCAAAAACUUCAUUAACGUUUCUAGGAGCAAACAUUGUUUAAAAAAAUUAACACAUGAAAACUGCUUAAAUCAAUGAAAAAUUUGCCAGAAUUCUUUACAGCACAACUCCACAUUCUUUGAUGAAGACAAUCACAUUGUCUGUUUGUAUUUUCUCCCUAAUAAUCUCCAUAAAUCCUAACAAAGCUCACCCCUUCCUCUGGACUUUGAACCUAUUCCAAGACCUAUGAUGUUUUUUUUUUCUCUCUCUGCUUCCCAAUCAAACAUAUGUAUCCCUGACUGGUCAUGUCUCUGCUCUUUGCUGGAGAUGUAAAAAAGUCAAGAGAGACAAAGUCACAGAGAGACAAAGGACAAAUGGAGGAAAGUGGAGACUGAAUGGUAAAUCCUUGGAAGGACCCUAGAGGCAAUCAGGGGCCACCCAAGAGUGACAAGGGGACCUGGUUCAAGUCAGAAGGUCUUCUUUUUCCCUCUGGUUGCCCAGUCUCAGUCUCUGAUUUCAGCUGCCUCCAGACCCACCUCUACAUGAGGCACCUAUCCAUUUCUGAUUAGGGACUCGCCAUGCAAGGAAGGUGAGGAGAGUACACAAAGGAGCCAUCAGUGUCAGGGCUGCAGGAGGGAUGAGCAUGUGACAGGCCCUGCAAGGUUCAUAGAUGUGUGAGUGCUCAGCAUCUGGGACCAGAAUUGUGAGCCUGGCUCUGCACAGAGCCCAGUCUGUUGGGGAUGGACCCCAGAGACAGUUAUUACUGCAGCAGUUCUCACACUACUUGGCCUUGAAAAUAAUUUACACACUUAAGAUUAUUAAGGACCCUAAGUAGAUUUUAUUCAUGUGAUUUACAUCUAUUGAUAUUUCUUGUAUUAAAAAUUAAAACUAGAAAAUAACACAUUUUACAUAAGUAGAUAUUGCACUAGCUGGCAGAGUGAUGAUGUCAUUGCAUAUCAUCUACUCUCCGGAAAAUUCUACCAUAGACUAAUGAAAAAAUAUGAGUAAAAAAGUCAAAUAAUGUCAGCAUUAUGAUUAAAAUUGUUUUGAUCUCACUGAAAAAAAAAAAAAAAA
rnacentral:lncRNA from 1 species